rnacentral:tRNA from 1 species
GAGGGUAUGGCUCAGUGGUAGAGCAUAUGCUUAGCAUGCAUGAGGUCCUGGGUUCAAUCCCCAGUAUCUCCA